rnacentral:rRNA from 1 species
CCCAAACCGAUGCGUUUCGGCGCAUCGGGGUUGUACGGCCCAUCAGAUGACAGUUACCAAGGCCUGAGCUAGUCGAACGCCACUGGAAAGGGCGGCCAGAGCAGGUGAUAGCCCUGUAGACGAAAGAGCAAGCCCUGUCGAUGGGUACGUGAGUACCACGGGACACGCUAAGCCUGUGGGAAGCAGGGGGGUCCACCCUCCAAGGCUAAAUACGUCUGGCGACCGAUAGUGCAGAGUACCGUGAGGGAAAGGUGAAAAGAACCUCGGUCAGAGGAGUGAAAUAGAACCUGAAACCGUGUGCCUACAUGCAGUCAGAGGCCUAGGUGGGCAACCACAGGCUAAUGGCGUGCCUUUUGGAGAAUGAGCCGACGAGUUACUCUGUGUGGCGAGGUUAAGGCAGAGACAGCCGCAGCCGCAGCGAAAGCGAGUGUGAAGAGCGCGAUGGUCGCACGGAGUAGACACGAAACCAGGUGAGCUACCCAUGGUCAGGCUGAAGGGGGAGUAAAGUCUCCUGGAGGGCCGCACCCGUCAGACUUGCGAAUCUGUGGGAUGACUUGUGGGUAGAGGUGAAAUGCCAAACGAACCUGGAGAUAGCUGGUUCUCCCCGAAAUAGCUUGAGGGCUAGCCUCGCGGGCAGGCUGGCGGAGGUAGAGCACUGGCUUGGCUAGGGGGCUUCGGCCUACCAAACCAAAUCAAACUCCGAAUGCCGCCAGGAGAGCCGCGGGAGUCGGACGGCGGGGGAUGAGCUUCGUCGUCGAGAGGGAAACAGCCCAGAUCACCAGCUAAGGUCCCGAAGUACGGGCUAAGUGGGAAAGGAUGUGGGCGUACUUGGACAGCCAGGAGGUUGGCUUAGUAGCAGCCACCCUUUAAAGAGUGCGUAAUAGCUCACUGGUCGAGUGCGCCUGCGCUGAUAAUCCAACGGGGCUCAAGCCCGACACCGAAGCUGUGGGAUGUUAGGGGACAGGGUAGAGGGGAGAAGGGAGAGGGCGACCUCUAGACCGAAGCCCGCUCCGCUGUACCCUGUGCCCUAACAUCGGUAGGGGAGCGUUCUGGUCAUCAGCGAAGGGGAAGUGGAAACCUCCCUGGAGAGGCCAGAAGAGAGAAUGUCGGCAUGAGUAGCGAGAAGGGCGUGAGAAUCGCCCUCGCCGAAAACCUAAGGUUUCCGACGCAAGGUUGAUCCGCGUCGGGUUAGUCGGGCCUAAGGCGAGGCCAAGAGGCGUAGCCGAUGGACAACGGGUUAAUAAUCCCGUACCGUGGUCAGGGAGCGAAGCGGUGACGCAGGGGAGAAGGCCAGCCGGCAGAUGGUAAGUCGGUGCGCAAGUGAGCCUUCGGGCAGAAGUGGUUGGGAGACCCUGCCGAGAAAAGCCGAUAAGCGAAGAACUGAUCAUGCCCGUACCGUAAACCGACACAGGUGGGUAGGUCGAGAAGACCAAGGCGAGCGAGAGAACCCUGGUUAAGGAACUCGGCAACAUGCACGCGUAACUUUGGGAGAAGCGUGACCCUGUUGAAGGGUGGCACAGAAGAGGCCCUACCGACUGUUUACCAAAAACACAGGUCUCUGCGAAGGCGAAAGCCGACGUAUAGGGGCUGACGCCUGCCCAGUGCCGGAAGGUUAAGGGGAGGGGUGAUAAGCUCUGAACCGAAGCCCCGGUGAACGGCGGCCGUAACUAUAACGGUCCUAAGGUAGCGAAAUUCCUUGUCGGGUAAGUUCCGACCCGCACGAAAGGCGUAACGAGUGGGGCGCUGUCUCAACCAGGGACUCGGCGAAGUUGAGGUAGCCGUGAAGACGCGGCUGACCCGCAGCAGGACAAAAAGACCCCGUGGAGCUUUACUACAGCUUGGCGUAGGGUUAGGGGGCGAUUUGCGUAGGAUAGGUGGGAGGCUGAGAAGCUGGGGUUGCGGCCUCGGUGGAGCCGACGUUGAAAUACCACCCUGAUCGUGUCUUGGCCCUAACGGAUGCCGUGGAUCCGGUGUCUGGACGGCGCCUGGUGGGUAGUUUGACUGGGGCGGUCGCCUCCUAAAGAGUAACGGAGGCGCCCAAGGGUUCCCUUAGGGUGAAUGGAAACCACCCGACAAGUGCAAAGGCAAAAGGGAGCUUGACUGUGAGACCAACAAGUCAAACAGGGACGAAAGUCGGGCUUAGUGAUCCCACGGUACCGAGUGGAAGGGCCGUGGCUUAACGGACAAAAGCUACCCCGGGGAUAACAGGCUGAUCUUGCCCAAGAGUCCACAUCGACGGCAAGGUUUGGCACCUCGAUGUCGGCUCGUCACAUCCUGGGGCUGUACAAGGUCCCAAG